rnacentral:rRNA from 1 species
AACGAACGCUGGCGGCAUGCCUAACACAUGCAAGUCGAACGAGACCUUCGGGUCUAGUGGCGCACGGGUGCGUAACGCGUGGGAACCUGCCCUUAGGUUCGGAAUAACUCCCCGAAAGGGGUGCUAAUACCGGAUAAUGUCUUCGGACCAAAGAUUUAUCGCCUUUGGAUGGGCCCGCGUUGGAUUAGCUAGUUGGUAGGGUAAAAGCAUCCCAAGGCGACGAUGCAUAGCUGGUCUGAGAGGAUGAUCAGCCACACUGGGACUGAGACACGGCCCAGACUCCUACGGGAGGCAGCAGUGGGGAAUAUUGGACAAUGGGCGAAAGCCUGAUCCAGCAAUGCCGCGUGAGUGAUGAAGGCCUUAGGGUUGUAAAGCUCUUGUACCCGGGAUGAUAAUGACAGUACCGGGAGAAUAAGCUCCGGCUAACUCCGUG